rnacentral:rRNA from 1 species
CCUANGGGAGGCUGCAGGGAGGAAUAUUGGGCAAUGGGCGAAAGCCUGACCCAGCAACGCCGCGUGGAGGAUGAAAGCCUUCGGGUUGUAAACUCCUUUUGAGGGAGACGAGAAAGGACGGUAUCCCUCGAAUAAGUCACGGCUAACUACGUGCCAGCAGCCGCGGUAAAACGUAGGUGACGAGCGUUAUCCGGAUUUACUGGGCGUAAAGAGCUUGUAGGUGGUUCUGUAAGUUGGGUGUGAAAGCCCCGGGCUUAACUCGGGGAGGUUACUCAAUACUGCAGGGCUAGAGGGUGUCAGAGGGAAGUGGAAUUCCUGGUGUAGCAGUGAAAUGCGUAGAUAUCAGGAGGAACACCCGUGGCGAAGGCGGCUUCCUGGGGCAUUCCUGACACUGAGAAGCGAAAGCUAGGGGAGCGAACGGGAUUAGAUACCCCANUANUC